AAGGUAUAUUUCAUCGACGAAUCCGCGGUCACACUGUUUCGUUUCGGUUUUGUUCUCUUUUCUCUUGAUAAAAAUCAACUAAUUAAACGAUCACCGAUCCCUAUUUAUUUCGAACACACACUGACACCGCAACACCACUUCGACCAGUCCCAUUCCGACCGCCAGCCCAUCAUUCACAUUCAUCCAAAUGCUCUGGCGUGCGUAGAGAGAGCGAAGAAGAAGAAACAAUAGCGGCAGCAGCAGAAGCAGCAGCAGCAGCCAGCAACAGCAACAGCGGGCAACAACCAGCAACAAUUAGAAGAAACAACGCCAACGAAAGUAUUGUCUUUGCAAAAGUAAAACUAUUUAAGAGAGAAGUCUGGACGGGAAAUUGAUGAUGAUGAUGGAUGAUUGAACGUGCGGAGGAACAGCCCUCUCGAAAUUGUUGACAAACACACACAGAAAACCAAACAACACACACACACGCAAAAAGGAAGAGAACACACAAAGUUACUAUUACAAAAUGUAUUGCUUAGUUUAGCGAGUAGAGGAUCCAAUAGUCCAGGCUCCAAAUUGGCUGCGAGCACGGCUUACUGGGACACUGGAGCAGAAAUUCAAUUACUUAGUUUGCUUUUUAACCUAGCAUUUAACGUUCUUCCCGAUUAGUAUUUAGAUUUUCAUUUUUGCGCGUAUCUUUUGUUUUGUCGUUAACCAACACCCAACAUGCACAACACUGCUGACCACUGACCAACACUGCUCUCUCUAUCUAUCUACCUAACUAUCUCUCUCUUUCGCUGCUUCAUCCAAAAUGUGAACCCCCCCCAAAGAAUUUAACAAUUUGAAACGUUUUAUUGCCGUUCUUUGAAUUUAUGUAACUACUACUACUAUAUGUAUGUGUAUGUAUAUCUAUAUAUAGACUUUCUUGUCGUAUUCUUUACGUACUUAAUUUGUUAAAUGUUUUAUGUUCGCCACCCCCCGGGCACCUAUUCGUAGUUUGGUAUCGUUUUCGUUGAGCGUCCGAAAAAAAAGUUAAUUGAAAAAAGCAGUGCAAAAAGUAAUUCCAUUUAUUCAAUUAUAUACACGCGCUGGCAUAUACACAUUUAUACACAUAUAUAUAUAUAUAUCAGAUCCAGAAUAUAUAUACACGCGCAUAUACACACACAUAUGCAUAUUAGAGAGAACUUUAUGUAUAAA